AUUGAACGCUGGCGGCAGGCCUAACACAUGCAAGUCGAGCGGAGCGGCGGACGGGUGAGUAAUGCCUAAGAAUCUGCCUGGAAGUGGGGGAUAACGUCCGGAAACGGGCGCUAAUCCCGCAUACUAUCAGAUGAGCCUAGGUCGGAUUGGGUAGUUGGUGGGGUAAAGGCCUACCAAGGCGACGAACCGUAACUGGUGUGAGAGGAUGAUCAGUCACACUGGAACGUAGACACGGUCCAGACUCCUACGGGAGUCAGCAGUGGGGAAGAUUGGACAAUGGGCGAAAGACUGAUCCAGCCAUGCCGCGUGUGAGAAGAAGGUCUGCGGAUUGUAAAGCACUUUAAGUUGGGAGGCGUUACCAACAGAAUAAGCACCGGCUAACUUCGUGCCAGCAGCCGCGGUAAUUC
rnacentral:rRNA from 1 species